CUACGGGUUGCUCCAGUGGGGAAUAUUGGACAAUGGGCGAAAGCCUGAUCCAGCAAUACCGCGUGAAUGAUGAAGGCCUUAGGGUUGUAAAGUUCUUUUAGUUGGAAAGAUAAUGACGGUACCAACAGAAAAAGCCCCGGCUAACUCCGUGCCAGCAGCCGCGGUAAGACGGAGGGGGCUAGCGUUGUUCGGAAUUACUGGGCGUAAAGGGCGCGUAGGCGGAUUAGUAAGUUGGGAGUGAAAGCCCGGGGCUUAACCUCGGAACUGCUUUCAAAACUGCUAGUCUUGAGUGAAGUAGGGGAUGAUGGAAUUCCUAGUGUAGAGGUGAAAUUCUUAGAUAUUAGGAGGAACACCGGUGGCGAAGGCGGUCAUCUGGACUUCAACUGACGCUGAGGCGCGAAAGCGUGGGGAGCAAACAGGAUUAGAUACCCCGGUAGUC
rnacentral:rRNA from 1 species